CAAGUGACCCGCGGGAGCCCGGUAGACCGGGCUGAGAGGGGGGCUGGGAGCCCCCGACCGUCGAACCUGAUCCGGGUAGUGCCGGCGCAGGGAGGAGAGUUGCCGUGUCG
rfam:Salinispora tropica CNB-440, complete genome.